GAUGAACGCUGACAGAAUGCUUAACACAUGCAAGUCAACUUGAAUUUGGGUUUUUACCUUAGGUUUGGGUGGCGGACGGGUGAGUAACGCGUAAAGAACUUGCCUCACAGCUAGGGACAACAUUUGGAAACGAAUGCUAAUACCUAAUAUUAUGAUAAUAGGGCAUCCUAUAAUUAUGAAAGCUAUAAGCGCUGUGAGAGAGCUUUGCGUCCCAUUAGCUAGUUGGAGAGGUAACGGCUCACCAAGGCGAUGAUGGGUAGCCGGUCUGAGAGGGUGAUCGGCCACAAGGGGACUGAGACACGGCCCUUACUCCUACGGGAGGCAGCAGUGGGGAAUAUUGGACAAUGGACCGAGAGUCUGAUCCAGCAAUUCUGUGUGCACGAUGAAGUUUUUCGGAAUGUAAAGUGCUUUCAGUUGGGAAGAAACAAAUGACGGUACCAACAGAAGAAGUGACGGCUAAAUACGUG
rnacentral:rRNA from 1 species